UACUCCUACGGGAGGCAGCAGUGGGGAAUAUUGCACAAUGGGCGCAAGCCUGAUGCAGCCAUGCCGCGUGUAUGAAGAAGGCCUUCGGGUUGUAAAGUACUUUCAGCGGGGAGGAAGGGAGUAAAGUUAAUACCUUUGCUCAUUGACGUUACCCGCAGAAGAAGCACCGGCUAACUCCGUGCCAGCAGCCGCGGUAAUACGGAGGGUGCAAGCGUUAAUCGGAAUUACUGGGCGUAAAGCGCACGCAGGCGGUUUGUUAAGUCAGAUGUGAAAUCCCCGGGCUCAACCUGGGAACUGCAUCUGAUACUGGCAAGCUUGAGUCUCGUAGAGGGGGGUAGAAUUCCAGGUGUAGCGGUGAAAUGCGUAGAGAUCUGGAGGAAUACCGGUGGCGAAGGCGGCCCCCUGGACGAAGACUGACGCUCAGGUGCGAAAGCGUGGGGAACAAACAGGAUUAGAUACCCUGGUAGUCCACGCCGUAAACGAUGUCGACUUGGAGGUUGUGCCCUUGAGGCGUGGCUUCCGGAGCUAACGCGUUAAGUCGACCGCCUGGGGAGUACGGCCGCAAGGUUAAAACUCAAAUGAAUUGACGGA
rnacentral:rRNA from 1 species